rnacentral:rRNA from 1 species
GGAGGGCGCAAGCGUUGUUCGGAAUUACUGGGCGUAAAGGGGGCGCAGGUGGCUUGGUAAGUCCUAUGUGAAAGCCCGCGGCUCAACCGCGGAAUGGCAUAGGAUACUGCCGAGCUUGAGACGGGUAGAGGCGAGUAGAAUUCCCGGUGUAGCGGUGGAAUGCGUAGAUAUCGGGAAGAAUACCAGUGGCGAAGGCGGCUCGCUGGGCCCGUUCUGACGCUCAGGCCCGAAAGCGUGGGGAGCAAACAGGGAUUAGAUACCCUGGUAGUCCACGCCGUAAACGAUGGGCACUAGGUGCCCGGGGAGUGUGACCUUUUCGGUGCCCGUAGCUAACGCGUUAAGUGCCCCCGCCUGGGGAGUACGGCCGCAAGGCUG